GAACGCGAAGAACCUUACCUGGCCUUGACGUAGUAGAGACUUUCCAGAGAUGGAUUGGUGCCUUCGGGAAUCUACAUACAGGUGCUGCAUGGCUGUCGUCAGCUCGUGUCGUGAGAUGUUGGGUUAAGUCCCGCAACGAGCGCAACCCUUUUCCUUACUUGCCAGCAUUUCGGAUGGGAACUUUAAGGAUACUGCCAGUGACAAACUGGAGGAAGGCGGGGACGACGUCAAGUCAUCAUGGCCCUUACGGCCAGGGCUACACACGUGCUACAAUGGUCGGUACAAAGGGUUGCUACACAGCGAUGUGAUGCUAAUCUCAAAAAGCCGAUCGUAGUCCGGAUCGCAGUCUGCAACUCGACUGCGUGAAGUCGGAAUCGCUAGUAAUCGCGGAUCAGAAUGCCGCGGUGAAUACGUUCCCGGGUCUUGUACACACC
rnacentral:rRNA from 1 species